UUAUGGUAUUCUAUUCAAUGCAGUGAUAUUAAUAUACGCUUCUAAUACUGUUUGAAGCCAGUGUUUCAUAAUAAUAGAUUAUUCCUUUAAACCAGUCGUAUGGACCGAGUCUUGAUUUUGUCUUGAGGAGUGCAGCUGUGGUCAGGCAGAGGUUAAUGGUUCCGCGCUCUGGCGGCUGGGCAGGCGCGGAGCUGCGGCGCUCUGACGCGGGGAUGGAGAGCUCAGAGAUGCGCUGCUGCUGCUGCUCCGACAGGAUCCCGCGGCCUGCUGCUUUCUCCGCUCUUCUGCGCCGAAGCUUUAAAUCACGGAUUGGAGUUUCCUGGUGUGGAGUCCCCAAAGAAAAGAUACACCAAUAG
ensembl:lncRNA